AGCGCUGCCACUGCGGAGCCGGGCGGGACCGACCCCCGGUUCCCCCCCUCCCUGCGCAAAAUGGCUUGUUUUCCAAUAGAAAUAAAAGCAAAGAGCUAAUUCUGCAAUCCCGAGGUAGGCAGCGCUCGCGCUGAAAUCAAGGGGAGGCUUGUCUUGGCGCACAGAUUGCAGUUAGGUGUCUGUGCAGCAACAGGAGGCCAUCGAUUUGGGAGAGCGCUCGGAGGCACGGGCAGUCGCAGCCCUUGGUGCUACGGAGAGCAAGGCGUGCUGCCGGCAGAAGUGCAGAGGCAAAUAUCUGUCUGUGGUGGGGACCCUGGGGCUGGUGGCCUGCAGAAUGCUGGGGAAUAGGGACUACUUCCCUCCAUCGCUGACCCGGGGGAUUCUUACCAGAGGGAGGACAGAAUUGUUGGUGAUCGUGGUAAAAUGCGAACAAAUCUAUGACACGGGGCAGAGAGUGUGUGCGGGGGAGAGGGAGCAUGCACAAGCGUGAGGCAGAG
ensembl:lncRNA